UUACGGUCACAUCACGUUCAAACACAGCUUCCCGUAUGAUCACCGAAGUUAAACAACGUUGAGCCUGGUCAGUAACUAGAUGAGUGACCUCUUGGAAAUAGCAGAUGCUGU